rnacentral:rRNA from 1 species
UACAGAGGGGGCGAGCGUUGUUCGGAAUUACUGGGCGUAGAGGGCGCGUAGGUGGCCUGUUAAGUCGAACGUGAAAUCCCCGGGCUCAACCCGGGAACUGCGUCCGAGACUGGCAGGCUCGAAUCCGGGAGAGGGAUGUGGAAUUCCAGGUGUAGCGGUGAAAUGCGUAGAUAUCUGGAGGAACACCGGUGGCGAAGGCGGCAUCCUGGACCGGUAUUGACGCUGAGGCGCGAAAGCCAGGGGAGCAAACGGG